CCUACGGGAGGCAGCAGUGGGGAAUAUUGGACAAUGGGCGAAAGCCUGAUCCAGCAAUGCCGCGUGAGUGAUGAAGGCCUUCGGGUCGUAAAGCUCUUUUACCAGGGAUGAUAAUGACAGUACCUGGAGAAUAAGCUCCGGCUAACUCCGUGCCAGCAGCCGCGGUAAUACGGAGGGAGCUAGCGUUGUUCGGAAUUACUGGGCGUAAAGAGUACGUAGGCGGUUAUUCAAGUCAGAGGUGAAAGCCCGGGGCUCAACCCCGGAACUGCCUUUGAAACUAGAUAACUAGAGUCUUGGAGAGGUUAGUGGAAUUCCGAGUGUAGAGGUGAAAUUCGUAGAUAUUCGGAAGAACACCAGUGGCGAAGGCGACUAACUGGACAAGUACUGACGCUGAGGUACGAAAGCGUGGGGAGCAAACAGGAUUAGAUACCCUGGUAGUCCACGCCGUAAACGAUGAUAACUAGUUGUUCGGUCACUUGGUGACUGAGUGACGCAGCUAACGCAUUAAGUUAUCCGCCUGGGGAUACGGUCGCAAGAUUAAAACUCAAAUGAAUUGACGG
rnacentral:rRNA from 1 species